rnacentral:rRNA from 1 species
CCUACGGGCGGCAGCAGUGGGGAAUAUUGGUCAAUGGACGAGAGUCUGAACCAGCCAAGUAGCGUGAAGGAUGACUGCCCUAUGGGUUGUAAACUUCUUUUAUAUGGGAAUAAAAUGUUCCACGUGUCGGAUUUUGUCUGUACCAUAUGAAUAAGGAUCGGCUAACUACGUGCCAGCAGCCGCGGUAAUACGGAGGAUCCGAGCGUUAUCCGGAUUUAUUGGGUGUAAAGGGAGCGUAGGUGGAUUGUUAAGUCAGUUGUGAAAGUUUGGGGCUCAACCGUAAAAUUGCAGUUGAAACUGGCAGUCUUGAGUACAGUAGAGGUGAGCGGAAUUCGUGGUGUAGCGGUGAAAUGCGUAGAUAUCACGAAGAACUCCGAUUGCGAAGGCAGUUCACUGGACUGCAACUGACACUGAGGCUCGAAAGUGUGGGUAUCAAACAGGAUUAGAUACCCGUGUAGUC